AGCCUGGUCCUCUCCCACAUUUGGGAGGGGCCAGAGCCUGAGAGGAUAGCUGGGCUGGUCUGCUGGAGAGGUCAUCUGACUGGCUGUUCAGCUUGGGCUGCACACACACCCUCUCCUGUACCAGGCCACACAGGAGCUGGUGCCCAUACACGGUACGCCACCAGGCUCUGAGGACACCCACUUCGCCCCCAGCGCCUCCGGGGCAUCCAGUCGCACCAUGUCUGUGACCAGCAGGAAGAUGGGACUAUCCCUGGCUCAGGAGAUCCUCAGCCACCUGGGCCUUGCCAACAAGGAAACUGAGACAAUUACCAAGUUUUGAUGCGUAUCCUUAUUUCUCGAAGUGAGACUGAUCUUCAAGUAUCUGAGCUGAGUUCAAAAGAAAUUUGGGAAGUCCCUCUACUCUUCCCUCCAGAAUGCAGUGAAAGGGAACUGCCGGUCAGCCCUACUUGCCCUGUGCAGGGCUGAAGACCUCUGAGAACUCAUCCCCAUAUGACCUUCAAGAAUCUGAGAUUCCCAUGUAUGGGUGAGCCUGCAGGAGACCAGCUGGGCCUCCAAAUAAA